UGGGGAAUAUUGGACAAUGGGCGCAAGCCUGAUCCAGCCAUGCCGCGUGAGUGAUGAAGGCCCUAGGGUUGUAAAGCUCUUUUGGCGGGGAAGAUAAUGACGGUACCCGGAGAAGAAGCCCCGGCUAACUUCGUGCCAGCAGCCGCGGUAAUACGAAGGGGGCUAGCGUUGCUCGGAAUUACUGGGCGUAAAGGGAGCGUAGGCGGAUAGUUUAGUCAGAGGUGAAAGCCCAGGGCUCAACCUUGGAAUUGCCUUUGAUACUGGCUAUCUUGAGUAUGGAAGAGGUAUGUGGAACUCCGAGUGUAGAGGUGAAAUUCGUAGAUAUUCGGAAGAACACCAGUGGCGAAGGCGACAUACUGGUCCAUUACUGACGCUGAGGCUCGAAAGCGUGGGGAGCAAACA
rnacentral:rRNA from 1 species